GCCUUGGAGCAUACGCAUAUGCAUCGUAAAUUCCCUAAUCUUUGAGUCUUCCGGAUUGAGAAAAAUGUGCAUUCGGAAACAACCUAUCGGGAGUUUAGGUUUUGGUCAUCUGUAAACCGCAUCUAUCCAAUCACAGAGGCCUGUCCGUCUGCUCUGUAGUCUCGCAAGACACAGAGAAGUCAUGGCUGCCGUACCGAGCAGCAAACUUCUAGGCAAGUGUGUUGCAUCUCCAACCGGGAAACACUCCGCGUCGGUCAUCUUCUUACACGGCUCAGGUGGUUACGUUUUACACUGCUCCCGAUGUUUUAGUGACAUUUCUUCAACGGAGACACUGGACGGGGAGUGCGAGCAUGGGUCAAAGAGGUUUCGGUACCAGACCUGGCUUUCCCCCACAUCAGAGUGGUAUAUCCCACAGCUCCAGCCAGGCCGUACACACCCAUGCGGGGGGCUCUGUCCAAUGUGUGGUUUGACCGCUACAAGAUAUCACACGACUGCCUGGAGCACUUGGAGUCUAUAGACGCCAUGGCCAACUCCUUGGGAGCGGUUAUACAGGAGGAGAUCAGGGCAGGAGUACCAAAACACAGGAUGAUCAUAGUAUGAUGGGUACUUUCACACUUUCCCAGAUGUACACCGUGUGCCCAGAUGUGCCCAGAUGUGUGAGAUUAAGGACGGGCUCGUGAACGGAUGCCGACUCCUGAGGAGCGAAAAAGCUGAUGAUGUGGAACUAUGGAGUCUGUUUCAUUUUUAAUGUUUUUUUAUUUUCUUUCUCAGUCAAAGGCAGAGUAUUUUCCACUUCGGACCGCUUAAACUGCCAGGAUGGCUUAAACUACUGUUACUCAUACAUAAUAAUAAAUGAAUAUAUUUAUUAUUAUGUUCCUAUCUUAUAUUAUUGCCAGUAUGCACAGUUGGAAAAAAUUUGUUUUUUUAAAUUUUAUUUUAUUUUUUUCCUGGGAAAAGCACUUUGGAUACAAUAUUCAAUACACAUUUUCAGUGAAUACCUGUACAAAGACACCUAAUGGAACCCAGUGCAAUGACAUGUUCUGUUUUGUCUUGUUCCUCGUCCAAAGGGGGUUUCUCUAUGGGCGGAGCUAUGGCCCUCCACCUGGCGUGCCGUUAUCACCCUGACGUAGCAGGAGUCUUUGCUCUGUCCAGCUUUCUCAACAAAGACUCUGUAGUAUAUCAGGCUGUGGAGGAGCGGGCAAGGGCUGGGAGCCCCCUCCCAGAGCUAUUCCAGGGCCAUGGGACAGGAGACGAGUUGGUAUUCCAUAAGUGGGGAGAAGAAACUACGGCCCUGCUGAAGAAGGCUGGGAUGACAACCACCUUCCACUCGUUCCCAGGCCUCCAGCACCAGCUUUCCCGGCCAGAGAUUGAGCUACUGCGCUCCUGGAUCCUCACCAAGCUGCGCCCGGACAGUCUAGAUGCCAGUGGGCAGUGACCAGUCAGCCCCACACCACUAAACAGACACAUUAACAACACGCUAUUAACAUGGUAAUAACACGUUCACAUUAUUGAGAUGCUUUAAAAUGAGCCAAACCAAACGGUACUGCGCUGGCCUGGUAAAGCACUGCCCAUAGUUUCUGGAACAAACCUGGAAAAGCGAGCCAGCACGGUCAGGUCGGUACUAUAGUGUGAAAAGGAUAUUAACAUGCUGAGUGGGCUGUGGACCACCUCCUCACAACCUCUGUUGGACACAAUACCGCUUUUUAAAAAAUGUGUCAAUAAAUGUUUUUUUGUUGUUGCUUGGACACUGUCAGUUGUGCUUGCUUAGUGUCCUCAACAGCUGUGUGGUUCCCUUCAAAAGAGAACCUGUGAUAGUUGAGUGUGCUUAUAACCACUCCCUCUGCACUUGUACAGUCUCCACUCUUCGUCUGUCUAACUCUGAUAGGAUAUGGGAGCAUGCUCUGCCUCCACCCCUAUCGUUUAACGAACACUAGAGUCAAUUUAGUACCGUUGCUGUAGAGAGAACAGGAAUUGUUUAGUCAAUCUUGCUCGCUCAGUUUUUUUUUUAUACACCAUUAUCGUUUUGCGCUGGGGAAUGUGUUGAACAUGUGUGGGGAUGGAGGGAGCGGAGGUCUGUUCUGUUUGCUCAGUAGUUCUGCUCCGUAGCACACAUCGCCUCAUUGAUAGUUAUUGGGAAGAAGCAGUUAGCUAUUCUUCCCUUCUUCCUACCUGCAGCCUCUCUCUCGGCGUUGUGCUUAAGGUAGUCCGGCUGUUGGGCUGCCUUCACUAGUGUAGGGCUGCAGGCCAGGGUCAGAACACAGGAAGAUCAUGAGUGAGCAGUAGUAACACUUAGGUGCCAAACAUAAUGAGUUAUGGAAAUGAUUCACGUUUCUUGUGUAGUCCUGGCUAUAAAUUAAACAUCUGUCAACAUCAGCA